AGGUUGUGAACGUUUAGGUGAAAGAACUUUUUCGAAGCGACGUGCCGUACUUGGUUUGAUGAGAGAAGUGAUGGCUGCACGACGAUCGUACACGUAUCGUCGUAGGGGACCUUAGGAAGAAAAGUUCCUUUUUAUGAUUUCAAUUUGAGUCUUUGUUAUGUACCUGUGUAGUUUGUGAGUAUAAGUUUGAGUUUAGAGUUUAUGUAAUUGUGAAAGUUUAUGUAAUGAUGAUGAGUUUGAAAAUUUUAGUAGUCAUGUGUGAUGAUCAGUAUGAAUCUCUCUUUUAUUUGA